GAAAAGAGCUGGCUGUAACAUCUGUCACCCUACUAAAUGCCAGGGUUGACUCAGCUGAUCUGGCUGGCUAGGCAGUGUCCCCUUCCUCCCCUACCUCUCCAUGUGUGUCCCUCUGGAAGUCACAUGACCUUUUCUGAAUAGAGGAAGACCCAUCUUUGGUCAAGGGUACUCAAGUAUCUGUGCUCCCCUGGCAAAACCUCCAAAGAAUCUCUCAAAAGUCCACUUUUCAAAAACAACAAGUAGACAGGCAAAGAACAAGAAAUUAUAAAGGGCUGAAAGGACUCAGUAAUGAGUUU
rnacentral:snRNA from 1 species